UAACAAAUAAUGAAAAUAAAAUAUUGAGAGAAUAAGGAAAUAGAAAUCUUAUUGAUAAUCGCAGCUUUCUUUCAAAAGGAGAGAAUAAGAUCUUCAAAUAGCAGAAAAUAAAAAUAUAAACAAUUGAUAGUAUAAUUUCGUGAAUUUCUUGAUGAGAGUACAAGAUAUGGUAAGGGGGUUUAUAUAAGAGUACAAUAAGUAAUUGUCUUACCCUACUUAAUUCCUGCAUGUUACUACAAUAUUUAUUACAUUGAUUACUCGUGACAUGAGUAAUUUAUAAUGCUUAUGGUAACAACAACCAAUCGCACAUAAUCAUGGAUUAUGCCGAUUUCUUUCCGUAUUCGCGGCUAUUAAUGAACCUUCCUUCUUCGUGAUUUUUAAUUAUCCAUCCCGCACCUAUUUUCUCUUUUCCUGUUAUCAGGUACGGUAUCUUUGUAGACGAUCCCAUGGGUAUUUUGCCCGUGCCUUCUCUAAUCUUCACUCUUCUUUAUCAUUUUGACUCUGCUUCUCCAUUUUUAUUUGGAAGUAUCUAAUUGGAAUACCAUAACCCAAAGUUAAUCUUCAAAGUUGUGUUUGCUUCCCAGAAAAUAUGGAAAAUUUUCGGAAAAGAAGCAAACGCAUUAAACUGUUAGAACGAGGAGUAUAAUUUAUGACCAAAUAAAGAUUUCUAACAAUAUCAUAAAUUGAUGGUGGAAAUUGUUGAUACCAAAGAAACAAUGUAUUCCAAUGGUAUGUAAACACUAAACACGCUAAAGACUUGGGUCUUAGGCUGGCCGGUUGACCGUGAAAGACUCUGCAAAAAAUUGACCUAAAAUUUUAUUAUAAAGUCUAUGUUUACAAUGGAUUAAUAUACUUAUGUCGACGUAUAAAACAUUUUUACUACUAUUGCAUUUAAACUUCUUGCAGCAGGUUUCUAGAUCUAUUUCUAGGUUAGUAAUCUCACUUAUUUUGGAUGAUUACUUGUACUUACCUUUUACAUAACCUGCUACUCCCUCUAGUCCAGUUUAUUUGAUUGUUUUUGGUUAUUUUUACACAUCCACCUUUUAGCAUUAAUUAACAAUAAAAUUGAUCAUAUUAACCUUAAUUUAUUCAUUAGAAAUAUAAUAAAUACUCCUAUGCUCUUUACUCUAAGGACAACUUUGAAAAAAGAAAGUUAAUUCCAUUUUGAUAUCUGAAAAAAUCAAAUAUAAUGGACCACCAAAAAAAAAGGCUAAAAAAUUAAUUAAAGUGGACCAGAAGGAGUAAUAUAAAACUCUUUUAUACUGUCAGUAUUUAAAAUUUAAACUCAUUCACAAUUGCUUCAGAGUGGGCUUCUAUGUACAAGAGCAUGUAGUCUAUGGAGGUAUCUACAAAGUCAUGCAUUUCCAAGACAAAACAACCCAAGAACAAGGCAAAGUCAUGCAAACCUAAUCCUCCAAGUUCGAUGAAAUUCAUUGGCCAAAUACAAUGACCUUUUAGUUCCAAUGCAUUGCUUUCAACGACAUUAUGUUUCAAGAGGACAAUAUGUAGAUAAAUAGACCUUGGCUUCAUUACAGAAAACCAAAAAAAAAUAAGCCUGAAAAAUUCUUGAACAUCUUGUUACCAGAAAAAGUAAGAAAAUCAAUUAUCUUUUACCAUUUCCAGCUACAUGAUUUCAAGUGUUCUUUCUGAUAUUAACAUGCCAUCAGCCAGAACGAUCAUUUCUUCCACAGCUUCCAUAGCUGCUACAGCCAUGGUGGUUCGGUCCGUAGCCCGAGACCUAAUCCCUUAUGAACUCCAACAUUAUGUUUACUUGAGCAUCCGUGGCUUCUUCAAAUCAUUUUCUUCUGAAAUGGUUUUGAUCAUUGAAGAAUUUGAUGGACUAGCCAGCAACCAAAUCUAUAAGGCUGCUGAAGUCUAUUUAGGCACCAAGGUUUCCAUUUCUGCUGGUAGCUUCAGAGUGAGUAUGCCAGAGAAAGAGACUAAGAUAUCCACCUUGGUAGCCAAAGACCAAGUGGUGUUGGAUAAGUUUAAUGGUAUUCAGUUCAAAUGGAGGCAAGUUACUAGGCAGGUUCAAUCCAAGAGGACCAAUUACCCUGGUCAAUCUUCUACUCAGUCCGAACUUCGGUACUUUGAGCUAUGCUUUCACAAGAAAUACAAGAAUAUGGUAUUUGAAUCCUAUUUCCCUUUAGUCAUCAACGAGUCAAACAAGGCUAAAGAAGAGAGGAAGACCCUCCAAAUUUAUACUAUGAAUAAUGAACACAUGAGGAGAUACUCAUACAAUUCAGGAGAUUAUACAUGGAACUCCAUCAAGCUAGAUCAUCCUGCAACUUUUGACACAUUGGCUAUGGACAGAGAGCUCAAGGAAAUGAUUGUCUGCGAUUUGGACAGAUUUGUUAGAAGAAGGGAUUUCUACAAGAAAGUUGGCAAGGCAUGGAAACGUGGGUACUUGUUAUAUGGUCCUCCGGGGACUGGGAAAUCAAGUUUGAUAGCAGCCAUGGCUAAUUACCUUAACUUUGAUAUAUAUGAUCUGGAGCUAACUGAUAUACGUGCAAAUUCAGACCUUAGGAGAGUCCUACUUUCCACAGGAAACAGAUCAAUCCUAGUCGUGGAAGACAUUGACUGCAGCCUCGAUAUUGAAGAUCGCAAAGCAGAAGAACAGACUUUGAAGGCACUCAAACCUCAUAUAACGCAAGCUCAAACUAUAAAUAUAGUUAGGAAGCCAAAACCUCAGGAGGUAAGUCUCACUUUUCUUGCAUCCUAUACCAUCCCACGUUUAGAUAAAAAAUUAAUGACAUUUUUCAAAAAGCAUAUAUUGUUGGUACACCAAAGUUAAAUUCUUAAUGAUUGUGUUUCUUUAUUGAAUAUUGUUAGGUUACGUUAUCAGGGUUGCUAAACUUCAUAGAUGGGUUGUGGUCAAGCUGUGGAGACGAGAGGAUAAUAGUGUUUACGACGAAUCACAAAGACAGGUUGGAUCCUGCCCUGUUGAGGCCAGGCAGAAUGGAUGUGCACAUCCACAUGUCCUAUUGCACUCCUUGUGCUUUCAAGACAUUGGCUUGGAAUUAUCUUGGAAUUGAGGACCAUCCUCUUUUCCCUGAAAUCCUUGAUCUUUUAGACGAGGCAAUGGUGACCCCUGCUGAAGUGGGUGAGCAAUUGCUAAGGAAUGAAGGGGUCGAGACUGCUUUGAGCAGUCUCCUUGAUUUCAUCUACAAGAAAAAGAAAAAAGCUGAUGAAAUCAAGGCAAAAGGUCUGGAAAAUGAAGAAACCGAGGGAAAAUUAGUUGUUGUGAUUUCUCAAGGAGUAAAUUACGAUUAAGAAUUUUAUAGUUAAUGGACAUUCUUUCAGUUUAACUUCGAUAGUUGAAGUGCAUUUUGUUGAGAAAAGCAUCAUCUACUAUAGUGAAAAAGAAUGUUCUUCAAAAAUAGAGAGCUGAUGUUGGGUAUAUCAAUGUACACUUAACUUGAUUAAUAAACCAUUAGAGCACCUUUAAUUGAUAAGUAAUAACUAAACAAACAGAUGGUCUUUUCAGGAACUUUAAUCUAAUCCACUGACAACUGUCACACCUAUACAGCAGGAGGAUGUAAAAGGUCUAACGGGGUUAAACAUCUCUAAUAAUCAAACUAAGACAUCAAGAAUUCACCCAGAGACAGUUGCAAAGCAACCCACCACAAUAUUUAAAAGUUGAUUAGGCUGAAAUUUCAUUUCCAUUCCCACUUUCCACAGUUAACCAAGUUAUGUUAAGAUGAGAACUAAAUGGAUUGUUCACACUUCGCAAAUGGAUUAAGACAUCACAAAUAUAAUAACUAGUGCUAGAAAAUAUAUGAUGUCAAGUACCAGAAGCUACACGCAAUUCUCAUUCAAGCUUGUAUGUUCUUAACAGUGAUGGCUACAAAUAAUCACAUUGGAACAAUAUAGUUGGGAAGACAACUACAUCCACACAAUAGCUCCUGCGUUUUGUUCAGCUCAAGAGAAAGGGCAUCAUCGAAGAAGUGAUAGCCUCAUUUCAAUAACCAAAAAGCUAAAAGACAAAAGGAAGUAAUGGCAUUCUAGAUCACCUUAGAAACUGUGACUCUGGAACUAAAGCAUUCGGAAUCCUACUUCAAUAGAGGUGUACAGUACGUAUAGAUUCUCAAUAUGAGAAUAGCUCCUCGACACCAAAGUUGUUCUACCUGCAAAAUUGUACAAGCAAUGUCAAUAUGGAUUCUCCAUUGAGAUAGCUCAGAUUAACGCAACACAAAAGAGGCAAAUACUUAUAAGACAAGGAAAAAAUUACAAGUAAUUUAAAUAAAGAAGAUAAGAAAGGGUAGAUUCUAGCCCCCCUCCCCCCCCCCCCCCCCAAACGCAAAAAAGUUAAACAGCGACACAUAAGAGCCCUAAAGCAUCCACAUGGACUGGAGAGUAAAAUAUUUUCAAGAACCAACAGCUAUGCGAGUUCAGCAACUUAUCAGAAAGGAAACUUCAAUUAUUGCAUUAUACAAAAUGAAAGCUUUGAAAAGCAUUUUUCCAGCCUAAUCAUAAAAGAGAUCUUAUGCCCUCAGAAAAUUAUUAACUAAGUCUGGUUUCUGCAUCAUAGCUAGACGUGUAAAGGAGCUAUGUUGAGCUGACUAGAAUUCCUGCUGGGUGCAACUUGGCUUAUCCCAUCCUGGUGCAAGACACUGGUCAAGCUCAACUUGAGAAGAAAAUCCAAAAGCACAAGCUUAACUCAGCAAGAAAAUUCAAGAUUGGGCGGAAAUGCUCAAGAAUUUGAAUGAGUAACAUGGAAACAAAAUGCAAAACUAAAAUCUGAAAAUUCUGCCGUUUGAAAUGUAAGCACAACAAUCGUCAAGAGACCCAUAUUCAAUCAGAUCGAUCUAGUCAACCAUUAGCAAGAUAAAAUGAUCUAUAGCCAAGAAGUUCAUCAAUAUUUCUUCGUCAACACGAUAAAGAAAACAGUGUUAACAAAGAUGGAUUUUACUUGUUAAGUUAGCCAACAUAUGAGCCCCUCACCUUGAAGGAUCGAGUGAAGCCCAUAAAGAUUUUAUAAACUCAUUCUCCCCAGCCCAAGUUUACAAGAACGGAUGGUGUGUCUGUCCGAGGUAGUCCUAAAAUGCACUUGAAAGUUUUUGUUCUUGUAAGGGCAUGAGACUCGUAGAAUCCAUGGGCCCGAAAAAGCAGAGUGGGUGGAGAGAGAGAGAGAGAGCGUAGAUGAUGAUUAAGGAAAAAGAGAUGAUUGGAUGGCUAGUGGUGGUAGUCGUCCAGUGGCAAAUUGCCAGAGAGAGAGAGAGAGAGAGAGAGAGACUGGAUGUGUGAAUUUAAGUGCAAUAACUGCUGCUGAAAAGGUAAUAGCAUUAGCCAGAACAAAAUAGUUUUUGUUAAGAGCAUGCUU
rnacentral:lncRNA from 1 species